rnacentral:rRNA from 1 species
CCCAGACUCCUACGGGAGGCAGCAGUGGGGAAUAUUGCACAAUGGGGGGAACCCUGAUGCAGCGACGCCGCGUGGGUGAAGGAGCGUUUCGGCGCGUAAAGCCCUAUCGGCAGGGAAGAAGGAGGACGGUACCUGACUAAGAAGCCCCGGCUAACUACGUGCCAGUAGCCGCGGUAAUACGUAGGGGGCAAGCGUUAUCCGGAUUUACUGGGUGUAAAGGGGGCGCAGACGGCAGCGCAAGCCAGGAGUGAAAGCCCGGGGCCCAACCCCGGGACUGCUCUUGGAACUGCGCGGCUGGAGUGCAGGAGGGGCAGGCGGAAUUCCUGGUGUAGCGGUGAAAUGCGUAGAUAUCAGGAGGAACACCGGUGGCGAAGGCGGCCUGCUGGACUGCGACUGACGUUGAGGCCCGAAAGCGUGGGGAGCAAACAGGAUUAGAUACCCCUGUAGU